rnacentral:rRNA from 1 species
UACGUAGGGUGCGAGCGUUGUCCGGAAUUAUUGGGCGUAAAGAGCUUAUAGGCGGUCUGUUGCGUCUGCUGUGAAAAUCCGGGGCUCAACCCCGGACUUGCAGUGGGUACGGGCAGACUAGAGUGUGGUAGGGGAGACUGGAAUUCCUGGUGUAGCGGUGAAAUGCGCAGAUAUCAGGAGGAACACCGAUGGCGAAGGCAGGUCUCUGGGCCACUACUGACGCUGAGAAGCGAAAGCAUGGGGAGCGAACAGG